AAAUAGAACCUGAAACCGUGUACGUACAAGCAGUAGGAGCACCUUCGUGGUGUGACUGCGUACCUUUUGUAUAAUGGGUCAGCGACUUAUAUUCAGUGGCAAGGUUAACCGUAUAGGGGAGCCGUAGCGAAAGCGAGUCUUAACUGGGCGCUCAGUCUCUGGAUAUAGACCCGAAACCGGGUGAUCUAGCCAUGGGCAGGUUGAAGGUUGAGUAACAUCAACUGGAGGACCGAACCGACUAAUGUUGAAAAAUUAGCGGAUGACUUGUGGCUAGGGGUGAAAGGCCAAUCAAACUCGGAGAUAGCUGGUUCUCCCCGAAAGCUAUUUAGGUAGCGCCUCGGACGAAUACUACUGGGGGUAGAGCACUGUUAAGGCUAGGGGGUCAUCCCGACUUACCAACCCUUUGCAAACUCCGAAUACCAGUAAGUACUAUCCGGGAGACACACGGCGGGUGCUAACGUCCGUCGUGGAGAGGGAAACAACCCAGACCGCCAGCUAAGGUCCCAAAGUAUUGCUAAGUGGGAAACGAUGUGGGAAGGCUCAGACAGCUAGGAUGUUGGCUUAGAAGCAGCCAUCAUUUAAAGAAAGCGUAAUAGCUCACUAGUCGAGUCGGCCUGCGCGGAAGAUGUAACGGGGCUAAGCAAUACACCGAAGCUGCGGCAAUGUCUUUUAGACAUUGGGUAGGGGAGCGUUCUGUAAGCCGUUGAAGGUGAAUCGUAAGGUUUGCUGGAGGUAUCAGAAGUGCGAAUGCUGACAUGAGUAACGACAAAGGGGGUGAAAAACCUCCUCGCCGGAAGACCAAGGGUUCCUGUCCAACGUUAAUCGGGGCAGGGUGAGUCGACCCCUAAGGUGAGGCCGAAAGGCGUAAUCGAUGGGAAACGGGUUAAUAUUCCCGUACUUCUGACUAUUGCGAUGGGGGGACGGAGAAGGCUAGGUGGGCCAGGCGACGGUUGUCCUGGUUCAAGUGCGUAGGCUUGAGAGUUAGGUAAAUCCGGCUCUCUCUAAGGCUGAGACACGACGUCGAGCUACUACGGUAGUGAAGUCAUUGAUGCCAUGCUUCCAGGAAAAGCCUCUAAGCUUCAGAUAGUCAGGAAUCGUACCCCAAACCGACACAGGUGGUCGGGUAGAGAAUACCAAGGCGCUUGAGAGAACUCGGGUGAAGGAACUAGGCAAAAUGGUACCGUAACUUCGGGAGAAGGUACGCUCUUGAUGGUGAAGUCCCUCGCGGAUGGAGCUGACGAGAGUCGCAGAUACCAGGUGGCUGCAACUGUUUAUUAAAAACACAGCACUGUGCAAAAUCGCAAGAUGACGUAUACGGUGUGACGCCUGCCCGGUGCCGGAAGGUUAAUUGAUGGGGUUAGCGCAAGCGAAGCUCUUGAUCGAAGCCCCGGUAAACGGCGGCCGUAACUAUAACGGUCCUAAGGUAGCGAAAUUCCUUGUCGGGUAAGUUCCGACCUGCACGAAUGGCGUAAUGAUGGCCACGCUGUCUCCACCCGAGACUCAGUGAAAUUGAAAUCGCUGUGAAGAUGCAGUGUACCCGCGGCUAGACGGAAAGACCCCGUGAACCUUUACUACAGCUUGGCACUGAACAUUGAACCUACAUGUGUAGGAUAGGUGGGAGGCUAUGAAGACGUGACGCCAGUUGCGUUGGAGCCGUCCUUGAAAUACCACCCUUGUAUGUUUGAUGUUCUAACUUAGACCCAUUAUCUGGGUUGAGGACAGUGCCUGGUGGGUAGUUUGACUGGGGCGGUCUCCUCCCAAAGAGUAACGGAGGAGCACGAAGGUGGGCUAAUCACGGUUGGACAUCGUGAGGUUAGUGCAAUGGCAUAAGCCCGCUUAACUGCGAGAAUGACGGUUCGAGCAGGUGCGAAAGCAGGUCAUAGUGAUCCGGUGGUUCUGUAUGGAAGGGCCAUCGCUCAACGGAUAAAAGGUACUCCGGGGAUAACAGGCUGAUACCGCCCAAGAGUUCAUAUCGACGGCGGUGUUUGGCACCUCGAUGUCGGCUCAUCACAUCCUGGGGCUGAAGUCGGUCCCAAGGGUAUGGCUGUUCGCCAUUUAAAGUGGUACGCGAGCUGGGUUUAGAACGUCGUGAGACAGUUCGGUCCCUAUCUGCCGUGGGCGUUGGAAGAUUGAAGGGGGCUGCUCCUAGUACGAGAGGACCGGAGUGGACGAACCUCUGGUGUUCGGGUUGUGUCGCCAGACGCAUUGCCCGGUAGCUAAGUUCGGAAUUGAUAAGCGCUGAAAGCAUCUAAGCGCGAAGCGAGCCCUGAGAUGAGUCUUCCCUGACAGUUUAACUGUCCUAAAGGGUUGUUCGAGACUAGAACGUUGAUAGGCAGGGUGUGUAAGCGUUGUGAGGCGUUGAGCUAACCUGUACUAAUUGCCCGUGAGGCUUAACCAUACAACACCCAAGG
rnacentral:rRNA from 1 species